rnacentral:rRNA from 1 species
GAUGAACGCUGGCGGCGCGCCUAACACAUGCAAGUCGAACGAUUAAAGCACCUUCGGGUGUGUAUAAAGUGGCGAACGGCUGAGUAACACGUGGGCAACCUGCCCCUUUCAUUGGGAUAGCCACGGGAAACCGUGGAUAAUACCGAAUACUUCGAGACUUCCGCAUGGAAGACUCGAGAAAGCUCCGGCGGAGAGGGAUGGGCCCGCGGCCUGUUAGCUUGUUGGUGGGGUAACGGCCUACCAAGGCAAUGAUGGGUAGCUGGGUUGAGAGACCGACCAGACACACUGGGACGGAGAGACGGGCGAGACACCGGCGGGAGGAAGCAGGGGGGAGUUGUGGAGGAUGGGCGCAAGACUGAUCCAGCAAUGCGGCGUGCAGGACGAAGGACGGCGGGUGGUAAAAUGAUGUUGUACGGAAAGAAAAGGCUCGGGAUAAUACCUGGGGAUCAUGACGGUACCGUAAGAAUAAGCACCGGCUAACUACGUG